rnacentral:misc_RNA from 1 species
UACAGAGGCCCCAAGCAUUACCCGGAAUCACUGGGCGUAAAGGGUGUGUAGGUGGUCAUGUUAGUCGAGUGUUAAAUCUCAGGGCUUAACCCUGAAAUCGCGCUCGAAACGGCAUGACUUGAGAGCGUAAGGGGUGAAUGGAACUCAUGGUGUAGGGGUGAAAUCCGUUGAUAUCAUGGGGAACACCGAAAGCGAAAGCAAUUCACUGGUACGUUUCUGACACUGAAACACGAAAGCGUGGGUAGCGAACGGG